CACGAAACCGGGCGAGCUACUGUCGGGCGUAUGUAUAGUACACACAUAUGUAGCAUAAUAAUCGUAGACCAAACAGUAGGAGUGAAAGGCUGUCAAGUCUGGUGAUAUCUUGUUAACUUUGAGAGUUAUUAAGUACUUAUACAAUUCAUCAGUGAUAAGGCUGGUGAAAAUUAUUUAAAUUGAUUAUUUAUUCUGGCAAAGUUUAAUCACUAGCAUUCAUCAAAUUAAACAUUGACAUCUAUGGAUAAUAGAGGGUAAAAGUUGAUAUAUAAUUACAACAGAUAUUCAUACUGUGGGUAUAAGUAAUUCAGUUACCGCUGAUGAACUCGGCAACAUUUCUUUCACCUGUUUAUCAAAAACAUCGCCAAUAGCAAACACUAUUGGUAAAUUCUGCUCAAUGUAUCAUAAAUAGCCGCAGUACCCUGACUGUGCAAAGGUAGCAUAAUCAUUUGGCUUAUAAUUGAAGUCUAGUAUGAAUGAAUACAUGGGGGAAAGCUCUAUUAGUGGUAUUCCUGAACUUAUUUAGUGGGUGCAAAUACCCACGGAUAAAUAAAAGACGAGAAGACCCUAGAAAUUUUCAUGAUUAGUCGGAAUAAGUUUUUGUUGGGGCAACAUAGUAGCAGUUAACCUACGUUAAUGACAUGACAUUCUAUGGUAAGACUAAAUUACUCUAGGGAUAACAGCGUAAUUCGAUACGAGAUUGCGACCUCGAUGUUGGACUAGGGAGCAGAUACUUAGAA
rnacentral:rRNA from 1 species